GUGAGUGUUUCGACAGCACACACAUUGAAGAGUUGGCAUGACAGAUUAGUGUGGCCCCUGUGCAAGGAUGAUACACAGACUCAUGAUGAAUUCCAUUAAAAC
rnacentral:snRNA from 1 species